rnacentral:misc_RNA from 1 species
GAAAUGCGAUAAGUAAUUUGAAUUGCAGAAUUCAGUGAAUCAUCGAAUCUUUGAACGCACCUUGCGCUCCUUGGUAUUCCGAGGAGCAUGCCUGUUUGGGUGUCAUGGAAUUCUCAACUCUAUUUGCUUUUGUGAAUAGAGCUUGGAUUUGGAGGUUUAUUGCUGGUACUUGUGAUCGGCUCCUCUUGAAUGCAUUAGCUCGAACCUUUGCGGAUCAGCUAUCGGUGUGAUAAUUGUCUACGCCGUUGCAGUGAAGCAUAUCAAUGGGCUCGGCUUCCAAUCGUCCUUUACUGGACAAUGACUUUGACCUUUGACCUCAAAUCAGGUAGGAUUACCCGCUGAACUUAAGC